GUAUUUAACCAGAAAGCCACGGCUAACUACGUGCCAGCAGCCGCGGUAAUCGUAGGUGGCAAGCGUUGUCCGGAUUUAUUGGGCGUAAAGCGAGCGCAGGCGGUUUUUUAAGUCUGAUGUGGCCUUCGGCUCAACCGAAGAAGUGCAUCGGAAACUGGGAAACUUGAGUGCAGAAGAGGACAGUGGAACUCCAUGUGUAGCGGUGAAAUGCGUAGAUAUAUGGAAGAACACCAGUGGCGAAGGCGGCUGUCUGGUCUGUAACUGACGCUGAGGCUCGAAAGUAUGGGUAGCAAACAGGAUUAGAUACCCUGGUAGUCCAUACCGUAAACGAUGAAUGCUAAGUGUUGAGGGUUUCCGCCCUUCAGUGCUGCAGCUAACGCAUUAAGCAUUCCGCCUGGGGAGUAGGCCGCAAGGCUGAAACUCAAAGGAAUUGUCGGGGGCCCGCACAAGCGGUGGAGCAUGUGGUUUAAUUCGAAGCUACGCGAAGAACCUUACCAGGU
rnacentral:rRNA from 1 species